ensembl:snRNA U6 U6 spliceosomal RNA
GUACUCACUUUGGCAGCACAUAAACUGAAACUGUAAUGAUACAGAAGAUUAGCAUGGCCCCUGCAGAAGGAUGAUAUGGAAAAUUUAACAAAGAAAAAGCACACUG